UAAUAUAGCAGUGAGGGAAUAUUGGUCAAUGGCCUAACGGCUGAACCAGCAACUUGGAGGAAUGUAUAGGGAAAGCUGGUAAAAUGUGAUGUACCUAGUAGUAUUAUUUAAGAUUAAUAUGAGAUUAACUAAGUUAAUUAAAGUUCUAAGUGGAUAUAUGAUUAUGACAAUAUUUACUUAUGUCUUGACCAAGUCACGUGCCAGCAGUCGCGGUAAUACGUGGAAGAUUAGUGUUAUUCAUUUUUAACAGGUUUAAAGGGUACCUAGACGGUUAUUUAAGCACUAAAGUGUACUAAUUAACUAGAGUUUAAUGUAAGAAGGAUUGAGUACGGUGAGUGUAGAGAUGAAAUUUUGUCAUACCACCUAAGGACUGAUAAAGGCGUAGGCAACCUUCUAUGUAAAAACUGACGUUAAGGGACGAAGGCUCGCGACAAUUAACAGGAUUAGAUACCCUAGUAUUUUGGGCAGACAAUGAUGAGUGUCAUAUGCAAGAAAGAGAUCUUUUUUGUCUAUAAAUGAAAAUAUAAGCACUCCACCUCAAGAGUAACGUGGCAACAUGGGAACUGAAAUCAUUAGACCGUUUCUGAAACUCGUAGUGAAGUAUGUUGUUUAAUUUGACAUCGCACAAAUAACCUUACCACAAUUUGUAUAACUAUACAACAAAAAAUAUAGCUACAAGCGUUGCACGGCUGUCUUCAGACAAUGUUGUGAAAUUAUGGUUAGAUCCAUUAAAUUGACGUAAACCCUUAUUUUAUUUAUAAUAAAGUAGUUCGCCGCUAUAUUGGUAGUGAUAUAUGGGACUAAGACAAGUCAUCAUGACUUUCCCAUUGUGGGCUAUAGACGUGCCACAU
rnacentral:rRNA from 1 species